GCGAAAUUCCUUGUCGGGUAAGUUCCGACCCGCACGAAAGGUGUAACGAUUUGGGCACUGUCUCAACAAAGGAUCCGGUGAAAUUGUAGUAGUCGUGAAGAUGCGACUUACCCACGCUAGGACGGAAAGACCCCGUGGAGCUUUACUGUAGGCUGAUAUUGGAUUUUGAGAUUAGACGUACAGGAUAGUUGGGAGACUUAGAAACCUGCACGCCAGUGUAGGCAGAGUCAGCCUUGGGAUACCAACCC
rnacentral:rRNA from 1 species